AAACUAAUAGCCCGUCUUCCUCCGUUUCCAAGCCUCCUGCAAGAGCCCCUGUAACCACACAGAAAAGUAUCCAGGGCAGGAGAGGAGGCACUCCGAGGGCAGGACGGAGGUUCUGAGUUGGCCAGAGUCUCCGUGUGUUAGACUUGCUGUGGAAUCCCCUGUGCCGACCCUACUCUCCCUGCCUGUUGAUGAAUGUGGUCUUCUAACCUACUUUCUGCUUCACCAACACCCUCUUCAGCUCUAAGCUAUUGUUGUAUUUUUUCAGAUCCAGAAUUCCAAUUUGAUUCCUGACUGUAAUUUCCAAUAUCAUUACUUCUUUGAACAUAUUAAGCCUUACCAAACUG